GAAAGUCCCCGUGGGUACAACAGAAGACAAUCGGUGAUAAGCUUGCAGCCUGGGAUGAGUUCCAACAAAUUCUUUGUUACCAUAUAAAUGCAUUGGCCAUGUGUGUAAGUUGUACAGCACUGCUGAAUAUGCUGGUAUUUUAUAAACUAUGCUAUUAAGUCAUUUAUUAAGUAACAGAAUCUGUCUUUGCUUGAUAAUGAAGGUAUCAAUAACAAAUUCUUUCAUGUUUUCAGUUUACAAAGACUGAUGAAAAUCCUGCUAUCCUGGAAGAAAUAACAAGAUAUUUCAGUAACCUCAAUGAGAUUGUCCAAAAGCAGGUAUUAAUAAUGUUUGCAAAUACUUUCUGGCCAACCCCGUCUCCACCCCUAAUUCCAGCAUCUUCUAGUUCAGGAUAAGUUUCCCACGCGCAUUUAUUCUCAGCAAGUGACAUAACGAGUCAAAACAAUCCUACAGCUGAGGAUAGUGUCAGACAUAGCAUUGUCUCCCCAUUUGCCUUCCCCAAAUUCUACCUUCUCUACUUUUACCAUUUGUAUAAUAAUUUCUCUAUUCUUCUCUGCAGGGUGAUACAGCGUGUGCUCGUACUAUCGCUACAGCUAAAAUUCAGGAGAUUUUACUACGGGUUGAUCUACUUUACUCUUUAAUGAGAAGAUGGAAUCUGAGAAAGCAACAUCGCGUCUAACUUCUAACUCUUAGAUACAGAGAUGUUCGUGGCAUUCUUACACGGGAUUCCAAAAGGAUCUCACAAUCAAAAUCACAUAGUCAUUAAGGGACCAUGAACCAAAGACUAUGAACUGAACAGUGGACAAGAAAUAUGAAUAUAACACGUACAACCGAGAAUUAUCUCGCAAUAUUUCUUACUCUGAGAAUGCUACUUUGAGA